GAUGAACGCUGGCGGCGUGCCUAAUACAUGCAAGUCGAGCGAACAGAUGAGGAGCUUGCUCCUCUGACGUUAGCGGCGGACGGGUGAGUAACACGUGGAUAACCUACCUAUAAGACUGGGAUAACUUCGGGAAACCGGAGCUAAUACCGGAUAAUAUAUUGAACCGCAUGGUUCAAUAGUGAAAGACGGUUUUGCUGUCACUUAUAGAUGGAUCCGCGCCGCAUUAGCUAGUUGGUAAGGUAACGGCUUACCAAGGCAACGAUGCGUAGCCGACCUGAGAGGGUGAUCGGCCACACUGGAACUGGAACACGGUCCCGCCCCCUAGGGGAGGCAGCAGUAGGGAAUCUGCCGCAAUGGGGGAAAGCCUGACGGAGCAACGCCGGGGGGGUGAUGAAGGGUUUCGGAUCGUAAAACUUUUUUUUUGGGGAAAAAAAAAUGUGUAAGUAACUAUGCCCGUCUUGACGGUACCUAAACAGAAAGCCACGGCUAACUACGU
rnacentral:rRNA from 1 species